CAUUCCAUGACUAUAUUAACUACAUCACAAACCCAUUACCAUGAAGAAACUGAUCCAAACAACAGGUGCAGCAAUCGGACACAUUGACAACCCUAAUUGAAACUUCUUGUCUUCUCUUCUACCACCUCAUUAUUUAUUGGGCGGCUCAGAGCAACCCUUGCACUAUUUUUCUCUUGCAAAAAAAAAAAAAGAAAAGAAAAUUGUCAAAAACCGAAACCAUUACAAGAAUCUGUCUCUGAAAUCAUCUUCCACUGUUGAUGGCGACUUCGAUACUUGUUAGAUCAGCUCGAUCUGCUCUGCAAUCUGCUGAUUUAGCUUCCAGAUGUCUGCCUGCAACUGGUACAACAGCUUGGACUGCUAUAUCGUUGGGUCAGAGUUUCAGAUUGUUCAGCUCCUUAUAUCAUUGUAGUCCAGAACAGGCAAAGCGACGCGAAGCUCUAAAGUAACCGAUGAUAUUCUCAAGUCUGAGGCCAAGCUCCGUGCUCUGUUCAAGAAGUGGUUCUCGCUUAAUACAGUACACCAUUUAGACGUGGAAGAUAGAAAAGCUUUCGAGGAGAGGUUUGCUAUAUUUAAGGGCAAGGCUCAUUAUGUCCACCAACAUAACAAAAAAGGCGAUUCCACCUACACUUUAGGAUUAACCCCAUUUGCUGAUUUGACUAGGGAAGAGUCUGGGAGAAAGAGGUAUAAGGUCUAUCCAAAGAAAGAGGUACCAGAAAGCUAUCUAAAUGUUUUAGAAAGCUAAUCAACCAGGUGGUCAUAGAUGAGUGUGGGCAGUUUUUAUUUAUGUUGCUGUUGUAGGGAUAGUAGUUGUAGUAGUAGGAUUGCUGUUGAUGCUAAAAACUUCAGGACUUCAAAUGGGACAUUUGGCUGAAACUUGAUUGUAACUUUAAUUAGUAUAUGGUUUGAGACUAUUUUCUUCUGUUGUGCACAUUAUAAAUAAGAACAGAAACGACAGUAAGCACU